GGGGCAGAUAAUAACGUUUUCAAAACUGUCCGUGUUGUUUUCGCGACGUUGGUAACCAGAACGUUGUAAUUUCGCGAUGUUUCUAAUAAGAACGUUAACAUUUCGCGACGUCGCUUUAGAAUAAGUCAUAUUUCGCGGAAUAUUCUCUGACGUCAUUAAUUUCGGUUGCGCGAAUUUCAAAAAAGUACCUGCUAAAAAAGUGGCCAUGCCGUUUCUAAAAAACCAAGAAACCCACCGAAGAGCAAUUAGAUUAAAGGAAACACUUGAGAUGUACAAAAAUAAAUCAAAUACAAUUUUGCAUGACGAAAUUGAUGAAAUGGUGUUAGACACGGAAGAGAGUACUGACAUGGAAAGACGGAAGAAGAAUUGUGGAGCUUUUUAGUCUGGCACUGAAUAACUGCCAAAACUGCACGGCCCAAUAACACAAUUCGGAACAUAACAACCUGCAAUAGCUAAUUAUGAGUAUUGGUAGCUACUUAACGUCCAGCGGCAAAUAUUUAAUUACACAUUUAUGACAUCCAAAUGUCAUUUUAAUGAAACUUAUAGAAAUGAGAAAACGUAUGAACCCGUGAUUAAUGAGUAAAUAUUUAACAAAAUCUAUUGUUAUAGGGUGGCCGAAUCGGGUCUGGUGUUGAAAUCCAUACACAAAAGUCAUUACUACGGAGUGUUGUACAGCUGUGCAAUAUUUUUCAUGACGAGAACAGUUAUUUUCAUUUAUUGAUAAUGAAUUCGAAGUAAAUAAUACUAUCUUGAACUGAAAAAUAUCAGAAUCAAAAUAGUUAAGUUUGUGUCUUUUUUUCUUUUCU
rnacentral:lncRNA from 1 species